AACAACUUUUGUUUUUGGGUUUUGCCAAGUUUGGAUUCAAAAGUUUGAGAAAAACUCACCCAAAGAUAGCCCCACGCCAGCCCUACGCGCACGCCACACGCGCCAGUGCGCAGUCACCACGCACGGUGUGCUCACUAGCGCCACGCCGCGCUGGCUCGUUCGUGCAGGCAUGGACACCAAUGAUGGCCGUUGAUGGGAUGCAUCAGCC
rnacentral:lncRNA from 1 species